ACGUAGGGGGCAAGCGUUAUCCGGAAUUAUUGGGCGUAAAGAGUGCGUAGGUGGUUUUUUAUGCGUGAGGUGAAAGGCAAUAGCUUAACUAUUGUAAGCCUUGCGAACUGGAAGACUUGAGUGCAGGAGAGGAAAGUGGAAUUCCUAGUGUAGCGGUGAAAUGCGUAGAUAUGAGGAGGACCACCGGUGGCGAAGGCGGCAUUCUGUAUUGAAUCUGACGCUGAGGCACGAAAGCGUGGGUAGCAAACAG
rnacentral:rRNA from 1 species